rnacentral:misc_RNA from 1 species
UGAUUUUGUACCCAGUAUUAGUUGCCCUGUCUCAUCUUCUUCAUCAUGAAUGCUAAAUAAUACUGGGUACAAAAUCACAGUGGUAAAGUAUUAUACGAAGUAGAUAUCUUCAUAACAAAGAAGAGAGGUUGUUGUUAUGGAUAUGAGAAAUCAAACGAAAGCAAGGCCCAUUUCUGCUCUUGCAUGGUCAUUCAAGGACAACAAGCAGAAAACCAGUGCCAUGGUCAUGAACACCAUAGCAGAUCUUACAGACUCCAAGGUGGCUGCGAACCUUUGCUCCUGCAGACCCCACAGAGUACUAACAAACCCACCCAAGCCGUCCACCGCCGUAGCCAGCAGCAUUGCCAUCUUGAAUCUUCUUCCAAUAACAAAGAAAGAGACUCUGUAGUCUG